rnacentral:tRNA from 1 species
GCGUGGCGGCACGGUUGGGAGAGCACUCGCCCGGGAGGCGAGGUGUCCCGGGUUCGAGUCCCGGACUGGCUGCACA